rnacentral:rRNA from 1 species
GACGAACGCUGGCGGCGUGCCUAAUACAUGCAAGUGGAACGCUGAAGAGAGGAGCUUACUCUUCUUGGAUGAGUUGCGAACGGGUGAGUAACGCGUAGGUAACCUGCCUUGUAGCGGGGGAUAACUAUUGGAAACGAUAGCUAAUACCGCAUAACAAUGGAUGACACAUGUCAUUUAUUUGAAAGGGGCAAUUGCUCCACUACAAGAUGGACCUGCGUUGUAUUAGCUAGUAGGUGAGGUAAUGGCUCACCUAGGCGACGAUACAUAGCCGACCUGAGAGGGUGAUCGGCCACACUGGGACUGAGACACGGCCCAGACUCCUACGGGAGGCAGCAGUAGGGAAUCUUCGGCAAUGGGGGCAACCCUGACCGAGCAACGCCGCGUGAGUGAAGAAGGUUUUCGGAUCGUAAAGCUCUGUUGUAAGUCAAGAACGGGUGUGAGAGUGGAAAGUUCACACUGUGACGGUAGCUGACCAGAAAGGGACGGCUAACUACGUG